GCUGGCGGCACGCCUAACACAUGCAAGUCGAACGAAGUAGCAAUACUUAGUGGCAGACGGGUGAGUAACAUGUAGGUAUCUUCCCUUUGGCCUGGAAUAACACGAGGAAACUUGUGCUAAUACUGGAUAAGUCUUUACGGAGAAAGCUUUAUGCACCAUUGGAUGAGCCUGCACUUGAUUAGUUUGUUGGUGGGGUAAUGGCCUACCAAGACUUUGAUCAAUAGCUGAUUUGAGAGGAUGAUCAGCCACAUUGGGACUGAGACACGGCCCAAACUCCUACGGGAGGCAGCAGUGGGGAAUCUUGCACAAUGGAGGAAACUCUGAUGCAGCGAUGCCGCGUGAGUGAAGAAGGCCCUUGGGUUGUAAAGCUCUUUCGUCGGGGAAGAAAAUGACUGUACCCGAAUAAGAAGGUCCGGCUAACUUCGUGCCAGCAGCCGCGGUAAUACGAAGGGACCUAGCGUAGUUCGGAAUUACUGGGCUUAAAGAGUUCGUAGGUGGUUGAAAAAGUUGGUGGUGAAAUCCCAGAGCUUAACUCUGGAACUGCCAUCAAAACUUUUCAGCUAGAGUUUGAUAGAGGAAAGCAGAAUUUCUAGUGUAGAGGUGAAAUUCGUAGAUAUUAGAAAGAAUACCAAUUGCGAAGGCAGCUUUCUGGAUCAUUACUGACACUGAGGAACGAAAGCAUGGGUAGCGAAGAGGAUUAGAUACCCUCGUAGUCCAUGCCGUAAACGAUGUGUGUUAGACGUUGGAAAUUUAUUUUCAGUGUCGCAGCGAAAGCGAUAAACACACCGCCUGGGGAGUACGACCGCA
rnacentral:rRNA from 1 species